GAGAAGCCAGCACAUCCAAACACCUCCACAGGCAUGUCAGAGGUUUUCUGCCCUGGCUAACCCCCUACACAGACUCUCUGCACUUCUGCCCCAUUGGCGUGCUCCCCACCUGGCAACGUUUUCCUGCACCAGUCACCUUGAAGGCUCUCUCUUAGUGGCAGACAGAUGCCCCUGCCAGGUGAGGAAACCAGAGCUCACACACCCAGGAGGUGGAGAAGCCUGGACUCAAGGCCUUGCAUUUCCUGCUACACCAACUGUGUCUGUUUUAACAGACAGAAGAGUGCUGAGCUUAAUAGAAACACACACACAACAGUUCAUGCUCAUAUCAUAAUCCUGCAUGUGUAAAUUUCCCAAUGGGAGAAUCAAAACAAAUCCUUGCUCAUCGAAACCAAGAAUAAUGUCAAAAAAUGGCAUGUGUUUAUCUAAUUUACUUGCAUGAAAUGGGGCCUUCUAGGAUGUAUGAAGAGUUGGUGAUACACCAUUGGUUAGCGCGUUGGGGCUCAAAAUAUUACUGUAUUACUAUUGUUGUUAUUAGUUAGAAUACUUAAUAUCCACCAGUCUGU